AGAUCAGGUAGGGACUAUGUAAGCAUGUGCGUUUGGAAGUGUUUAUUAAUGGUUAUUUUAUUCAAUAGCAGAAUGUAAGAAAACACAAUGGUGCUAAGAUGGCGCAUAUAAAAUCUAAUUAAAUGAUCAUACAGUCAAAAAAAUAAAUGAGCGAAUUAAAACUCAAAUGUGGUAUUCAUCUAUAAUGCCUGUUUGGGAUCUAAGUCAAGGCAGCUCUCAUAUUGGGGGACAGCAUUUUAAGUAAAAAAAAGGGGUGAGGUGUUUUUAAGUCUGCAGUAAGUAAGAUUUUUACUGCUGGAUGGCACAAAAUGACCGUAAUAUAUCUGUGGGGGUUGAAAAGGUUAUGGAUCGAUAGGAAUGACUCAGCCAGUUCUUGGCCAGCUGCUGAACUUUCUGGCUUUCAAAACUCGCUUUCCAUUCUGUUCUCUGUUUUGGAGAGAAACCACCCUACCUACUGGACUUUCGAGACCUAACCUCUAUUUAGUCAAAUGAUUGGCAAAGUAGACUAGCCCUAAGGAGGAUGAAACUGUAGCAUCCACGUGUCAAAGAAGUUUUCCCCUUUCCCUCAUUUGUCACAGAGAUUUGCCCAAGAGUUGACUCAAUCAGCCUAUGUGCCCACCAUGUUAGCAGCAUUCACACACAAGCGUGUGCGUCAGUAAAAGUCAUGGUAACAGAACAGUGACACGUGACAGAGGCCGUGUAAGAUCUGCAGACUUUCCACCUUCUCACUUUGUACUUGGACUUGACACGUGUUGACCUGCUGCAAAACCUAAACGCUGGACAGCUAAACUCUUGGAGAUCUGAAGCAUGUGGAAAACGAACCUUGUUGAAGAACCAAAGCAGUGGAUAACUAAUCUACUUUGAAAAACCAACCUACUGGAGAAUUGCCUGUCAACUGACCACCAAUCACAGAGGAACACCUGCUGAUUGGAGUCCAGUGUGAGUGAUCAUGCAGAUAGGUUAAGACAACUUCUAAAUUCAUGUUUUUCCUAUGCUUAGUUCAUCAGUUCAUCUCCCUAAAACCAUUAAAAGCUUUCUCAGCACAAACAUGAACAAACAUAUCUAGGUGACUUUAAAGGUGGACAAGUAACACAGUUUAAUUUGGCCUGUUUGAAAAACACAGAUUGAGGGAUACAGACGUUUUAUCGGUGUAAAACUUUGUCAUGUGCUGUGCAUGUGCGUGUCCUGCGUCCAGGAUGCCCUCUCCAGCACGCCCCCUGACCUGCAACUUAUAAACUUGGAGAAAAGUAAGUAACCAUAUUAUGGCCAUGGUCAGCAAUAAAACCUUUAUACUUAAAAGAAUAGUAAUAAAAAUAAUAAAUUAUUAAAACAAGCGAUCCAGUGAGGAUCCUUUCACUACCACAAAACAGCUAUGAUGUAUACAAUUGGAUACAUACUCAUCCAUUAUUAGGAGGCCUACUGUAGUUUAUGUAUUUUAUUAAUCACCUUUUUCUAUAGGUGAUGGGGCCCUACAUGAACACACUAUUAUUUGCCAAAAUAUGAAGAAUAAUUUCACAUGAUUUCUGUAUGUGUGUUUUGUCUGUGCUCCCGUCACCAUUCUGUAGUGGAUGAGGCUGUAUUGGAAAAAGGAAAUGACCAUCAGAUAACUGCAGGUACAAGUUUGAACCUGAAGAAGACCCAUCGGGAUGUGGCUCUCUCUCAGUACCAUCUGUCAAUCAUAGGAAGAGUUGUGAGGAAAGCCUUGGCAAAGAGGAAAGCUGUAAAGAGCAGAAUCCUGUAUGAUUGUCAGCCCUGUAUGAUGAAGGACUGAUAAUCCAUUUGGAAAAAGUAGGAUCUGGUGGCUGGACCUUUCUUUGUAACUGUGAUGGCUGACCUUAUGCGUCUGGCAGAGCUGGCAGUGCCCUAGGUAGCACCUUGCAUUAGCUCCUAUUUAUAUCUAGAGGCUCGAUUUUUUCUUUGUAAUAUUUAGGGCUGGCCUCUCUGUCUGGCAGGGCUGGCGAUGCUCCAGGUCACACCUUUACCGUUGCUCUUUUGCAUUGAAAGGAAACAUCUGAGGUAUUUCAGAUCAACUUGCUCAUGUGCCAUGCUUGCCUGAGGUUCAGUUGGCUUCAUGUGAAUAGGACGAGCCAUGGAUCGAACCACAAAAAAAACAACAACCCUGAAAUGAAUGUAAGACCUGCUACCACCUGAGCUACUGCCAUUCACAUAAUGUGGGAAAAAAGGGUGAGUACAAGCUUUUGACUUGGAAAGAAUGUGAACUACAAUGGUCUAAUAUAUAAGACAAAGAAAGUAAUGUAUGUUAGCUUACAUAUACAUAUACUGUACCUGUGUAUCCAUUUAACAUCAUUUAUUUAAUAAUUCAAAGUCAAUUUAUCUUACUCUGUUGUUCUUUUAUUUAUUUAUUUAUUUUACUGAGGUCAAGAUGGCUUUACAAGACAGAUAUGGAAAGCAUGAAUGACAAGAUUAACAAAAGAGUCUUGUAAGUCUUAUUAUUAAUAAACAAAGUGAUUAUUUAACUCA